rnacentral:ribozyme from 13 species
AAAUGAAAAAGGAAAAAACACAUAUGUAUGAAUACUCUUACUCUCCCUCUAUCUCAAAAUUCUUCUUUUCCUUUUUGUUUCAUUAUUAUUAUUUCCUAUAUAUAGAUAUAUAUAUAUCUAUAGUGGAAAAAAAAAAAGAAAAGAAAAAAAUAUCAAGUAUUUUUAAAUUUUCUUAACAAUUUGAAUCACAUCUUCAUCAGCUAACACAUGAAACUUACCAACUUUUUGUGGUUGAUGUUUCACAGAACUACCCCAGACCCAGGCAUGCAAGAAUUCUUUCAUAAUGUUUCUAUGAAGACGAUUACAGAAGGCUUCCACAGUGGGGCGAGUAGCAUGGAGAACAACAGGCUCUUCAUAGUCUGGGAUUUGUCCUUUUGGCUUCGUGUAGAUUCUCAUCAUUUGCAAAUAAUUCCAAAUCUCUUCCAUCAACAUAUCAAUAUUCCACUUAUGAAAAGAUG